rnacentral:ncRNA from 1 species
UUAAUUUAACUCAACACGAAAAAACUUACUAGGUCCAGACAUAGUAAGGACUGACAAAUUGAGAACUCUUUCUUGAUUCUAUGGGUGGUGGUGCAUUGCCGUUCUUAGUUAGUUAAGCGAUUUUUAUUGUUAAUUUUAUUAACGAACGAGACCUCAGCCUGCUAACUAGCUAUGCGGAGGUAUCCCUUCGUGGCCAGCUUCUUAGAGGGACUGCGGCCUUUUAGGGCACGAAAGUUUGAGGCAAUAACAGGUAUUUUUGGGUUUGACCUACAUU